AACGCUAGCUACAGGCUUAACACAUGCAAGUCGAGGGGCAGCAUGGUUUUAGCUUGCUAAGACUGAUGGCGACCGGCGCACGGGUGAGUAACACGUAUCCAACCUGCCGUCUACUCUUGGACAGCCUUCUGAAAGGAAGAUUAAUACAAGAUGGCAUCAUGAGUCCGCAUGUUCACAUGAUUAAAGGUAUUCCGGUAGACGAUGGGGAUGCGUUCCAUUAGAUAGUAGGCGGGGUAACGGCCCACCUAGUCUUCGAUGGAUAGGGGUUCUGAGAGGAAGGUCCCCCACAUUGGAACUGAGACACGGUCCAAACUCCUACGGGAGGCAGCAGUGAGGAAUAUUGGUCAAUGGGCGAGAGCCUGAACCAGCCAAGUAGCGUGAAGGAUGACUGCCCUAUGGGUUGUAAACUUCUUUUAUAAAGGAAUAAAGUCGGGUAUGCAUACCCGUUUGCAUGUACUUUAUGAAUAAGGAUCGGCUAACUCCGUGCCAGCAGCCGCGGUAAUACGGAGGAUCCGAGCGUUAUCCGGAUUUAUUGGGUUUAAAGGGAGCGUAGAUGGAUGUUUAAGUCAGUUGUGAAAGUUUGCGGCUCAACCGUAAAAUUGCAGUUGAUACUGGAUAUCUUGAGUGCAGUUGAGGCAGGCGGAAUUCGUGGUGUAGCGGUGAAAUGCUUAGAUAUCACGAAGAACUCCGAUUG
rnacentral:rRNA from 1 species